UCCUGCCGUGUAUGACUCAUAACUCCAGCAUUCAAGGUCCAGAAAAAUGGCAACGCUGGGAACUUGCUGAGCAGUAAGUCUUGCUCCUGGGGUCUCCCUUCAAGUCCCCCAAAGGUAUUAUACACCUCAGUACAGAGCCAAGGAUGCAAGAUGAACACACAAGUCAACUGAGUGUGGGGCAAAGUUUGUUUGAUUAGAGAUCGCAGCAUGUGGAAUCACAAGAACUAGAGUUUGAAUCCCGAUUCUAACCAAACUGUUUCAGCUUCCUGCCCUUGAGUGAAUCAUUUAUCAAUUCCUUCGUUUUUGAGGCAGAUAGCAGCACGGAGAUUUUUGAUUGGGGAGGGGGGAAUCCCUAAUCCCUGUGAUGUUCAAGGGUCAACCGUAUUUUUCAAGGGCAAGGUGUGGAACGAUAUGCAUAUGUUACCAAGUGAAAAAAGCAGGCUUGAGAGUGUAAAGACUUAGCCACAAAGGUGAAGAUAACAUUUGCAAUGUAACAAAACAUUUCUUUGCACCAUGAGAAAAGACAAGAAACUAAGAGGAAGAAAAUGGUAAGAGACCAGGUAUUUACAAGCGAGGACAUCCAAAUGGCCAAUAAGCAGGAAAACAUGCUGAGCUUCACGAGUGAUAGGAAAAUACCAAUUAAAACCACCAUUAAAUAUAGCAUUACAGACCUGCUGAUUGGCUUUAAGUUUUAAAGACUCACAAUACCCAGUGUCAGUGAGGAUGUGAAGUAACAAACUUUCCUACACUGCUGGUUGGAGUAUAAGCUGGUACAGCCACUAUGAAGACAAUUUGGUAGUAUCUACUGAAGUUGAAGAUAUUCACACUCUGACUCAGCAAUUCUACUCCUAAGUAUAUAACCAUCAGAAAUGUGUGUACCUGUUCACCAGAUACAGAUACAAAAAUAUUCUCAGGAGCCUUACCUUCAAUAGCCCCUGUAAGUUCUGCACACUCAAUUUCAAUGCUUGGGGAGGGUUUUCCUCACACCAGCAAGCAAUUCCCUGACCCCAGCUGGGUGUCCUACCAUUCAACUCAAUUCUGACACAGUCUACCCAGGGAGAGCAACUGAUUCCACAGGUUAAGGACUGAGUGCCACAAGACAGCCCGCUACUGCAAUUGACACUCACAAACCCAGGUUAGCUUCCGACCAACUGGCUAUACAUCAGAAGUUCCCACAACCCCUUCCUUGGGUUCAAUUUAUAUACGGGCUCACUGAACUCAGGAAACCUGUUUACUCGCUAGAUUACUGGUUUAUUACCAAGGAUAUUAAAGGAUACAAAUCAACAGCCACAUGAAGAGGUACAUAGAGUGAAGUCCUGAACAAAGGAGUUUCUGUCCUCAUGAAAUUUUAAACCCUGCACGGUGGCACGUGGAAACUCUCUGGUUUCCUAACCUGGAAGCUCCAAACCCCCUCACUUUGUGUUUUUAUGAAGGCUUCACUACGUUGUCACUGUUGACUAAGUCAUUGGCCUUUAGUGACUGAUUCAACCUUCAGCCUCUCACCCCUCCUUGGAGGUCAUGGGACAGGGGAAGUGGAAGGGGGACUGAAGAUUCCAACCCUCUCAAUAUAUGAUUAGUUGCCUGGCAACCAGCCCCUAUUCUUAAGGUGCUUUCCAAAAGUCACCUCAUUUACAUAAAACCAGUUGUGGUAGAAAGGGGCUUGUUAUGAAUAACAAGACACCCAUUCUGCCUUUGGGGAAGGUACUAAGGACAAGAGACCAAUCAUUAGAACAAAACAUCGUUCCCAUUGCUCUUAUCGCUCAGGAAAUUUCAAGGAUUUGGGGAACAAUGAGCCAGGAACCACAGACAAACACCAAAAAUGUAUUUCUUAUAUACCACAAUAUCACAGCCCUAAACAGGAAACAACCCAAAUGUUCACCAAGAGUAGAAUAUAUAAACUGUAGCAUAUUUACAUAGUGGAAUAGUGCACCCAGCAGUAAAAGUGAACGAACUAUAGCUACGUACAACAUGAACCUAACAAAACGGGCAAAGCAGCUCAUUACAAAAAGAUAUGUAGGACUUCCCUGGUGGCGCAGUGGUUAAGAAUCCGCCUGCCAGUGCAGGAGACAUGGGUUUGAGCCCUGGUCCGGGAAGAUCCCACAUGCUGCAGAGCAACGAAGCCCAUGCGCCACAACUACUGAGCCUGCGCUCCAGAACCCACAGGCCACAACUACUGAAGUCUACACGCUUAGAGCCCAUGCUCCACAACAGGAGAAGACGCCACAAUAAGAAGUCCGCACACCGCAAUGAAGAGUAGCCCUUGCUCACCGCAACUAGAGAAAGCCUGUACGCAGCAACGAAGACCCAACGCCGCCAAAAAUAAAUAAAUAAAUAAAUAAUGUAAAAAGAGUUAAAUAAGGUAAUAUGUACAAAAGGGCUUUUCAAAACACAGAAUUAUGAUUUAGACUGUGUGGGUGGAGAAGAACAAGCUUUAUGCCCUAAUCCAAUGAUUCAAUUUAACUAUAUAUAAACUGCCGAUCUAGGAGGGUCUACACAGCCAGGGCAGAGCUGGAACUGGAACCCUGAACUCCAGAUGCCAAGCGCAGUGCUUUUUUCCAAGCCGUUAUGUUACAAGCCUUUAGCAGGUUGACAGUGAGGCUGGAGCAUCACUCAGUCACACAGCCCAGGUUUGUGUCCACACCUGCACCUGUCACUCACAGUGUACCCUGGAGCAAGACCCUCACACCCUCUGGGUCUUUGUUAUCUUUUCACACCAAAGAGUUGGGCUACAUGCCAAUCUAGGAAUUACAUUCUAAGGUGUGAUCCCAGGGCCAACACACACACACACACACACACACACACUCCUUUUACUUGGCCACAAAAUGGGCUUUGCAAUUGUAUGAAUUCCCAACACCGCCCCCCCUCACCUUCUAGGACUGCUCAUUGCUUUAGAUCAAGUCAAGUCCAAAUACCUCUUCUUAACAUCCAAAGCCCUACCAUCACCAAACUGCCCUUCUAGUUCAUCACUAAACCACCUGAAGUUCUCAGCCUACUGUGCUCCCCACUGUCCCCACAUGUUCCUGCCACUUCCCCACCUCCGUGGUUUGGUUUAUGCUAUUCCUGAAUCGCCACCCCUUCCCCAUUGUUAGCAAGAUCCUGCCUUUCUUUAAUGUAGGAGGAUGGUGGGAAGGAUCCCGAUUCACCUGACCCACCACAUGCAUGUGCCGUGUCACCAGGGUGUAAUGCUGUGGGGGACUAGGUCCACGUUCUGUUCUUCUCAGUUUCCCCAGAGCGCUCAGUGAUACGCCUCCACACACGUAGCAAGGGCUCCACAACAAACACUUUCUGCUUUUGAGUUUGAAAUUUUUUGUGGAGUGGGGGGAGAAAAAAGGAUCCAGAGAAGGGACGGGAUUGGCCUAACAUUACACAGCAGAUCAAGGAUACUUCCAAGAUAGCGGAGCCAGAAAGGAAGCCUGGCUCACCUCACUUCUAGCCAACAAGCCUGAUCUGUUUUUUCCCCUAUUGAUGAGGUGAAUAACUGAGCAUUUAAAAUGUGUGUGUGUAUGUGUAUUGGGAUUCUAUUUGUAAGAGUAAAAAAUUGAAAGCCACCAAACUAAGAAUACUUUAUGGUACUUCUUGACUAUAAAAGCUUAUGAAGUCAUUAAACCAUUUUAAUAGAGUCAUUUGGAAUCUUUAAAAAAUGGUUUAGAGCAUAGAAGGAAUGAGAUACAUGGGAAAAGAGCCAGGACAGGUUGUCAAUGAAAACCAGUGUAGGGGAAUAUGAGUAACAAUUCAUCUGCAUAAAAAGGAAGCAUACACACUCACUUACACACAUGUAUGCAGGCACACACCAAACACCUGCAUUAGAAACUGACCUAAAUUAUUAACGGUGUUUUGCUGCACUGGGAGAAUUACAUGGAAAUUUUUCCUAUUUUAUGUUCAUAUGUAGUAUGUGUGUGUUUUAUAAUGAACAUUCACUAACUUUAUAAUCAGAAGAAAUAAAGAUCCAUCCAUUUUGAAAAUAUAAAAUGUAAAAAUCUUAAAAUUUGUAUGGAGACACAAAUGACCCAAAUAGGCAAAGCAAUUUUGAGGGAAAAACAAACAAAGAAACAACAACAACAAAAACCAGCUGGAGGAAUCAGGCUCCCUGACUUCAGACUAUAGUCAUCAAGACAGUAUGGUACCGGCACAAAAACAGAAAUAUAGAUCAAUGAAACAGGAUAGAAAGUCCAGAAAUAAACCCACACACCUACAGUCACUUAAUCUACGACAAAGGAGGCAACACUAUACAAUGGAGGAAAGACAGUCUCUUCAAUAAAUGCUGCUGGGAAAACUGGACAGCUACAUGUAAAAAAUGAAAUUAGAGGACUUCCCUGGUGUUGCAGUGGUUAAGAAUCCACCUGCCAAUGCAGGGGACAUGGGUUUGAGCCCUGGUCCAGGAAGAUCCCACAUGCCACAAAGCAACCAAGCCUGUGUGCCACAACUACUAGAGCCUGUGCUCUAGAGCCUGUGGGCCACAACUAUUGAAGCCCACGUGCCUAGAGCCCAUGCUCCACAACAAGACAAGCCACCCCAAUAAGAAGCCUCUGCACCACAACGAAGAGUAGCCCCCGCUCAUCGCAACUAGAGAAAGCCCGCACGCAGCAACAAUUACCCAAUGCAGCCAAAAAUUAAAAUAAAUUUAUUUAAAAAAGAAUUAGAACAUUCUCUAAUACCAUUAAACUCAAAAUGGAUUAAAGACCUAAAUGCAAGACUGGGUACUAUAAAAUUCUUAGAGGAAAACACAGGCAGAACACUAUUUGACAUAAAUCACAGCAAUAUCUUUCAAUUUGUCUCUGAGAGGAAUGGAAAUAAAAACAAAAUAAACAAAUGGGACCCAGUUAAACUCAAAAACUUUUGCACAGCAAAGGAAACCACAAACCAAACAAACAAAAAGAACCCACAGAAUCAGAGAAAAUAUUUGCAAACAAUGCAACCGACAGGGAUUAACCUUCAAAAUAUACAAACAACUCAUGCAGCUCAAUAUCAAAAAAACAACCCAAUCAAAAAAUGGGCAGAAGACCUAAAUAGACAUUUCUCCAAAGAAGGCAUACAGAUGGCCAAGAUGCACAUGGAAACAUGCUCAACAUCGCUAAUUAUUAGAGAAAUGCAAAUCAAAACUACAAUGAGGUAUCACCUCACACCAGUCAGAAUGGCCAUCAGCAAAAAGUCUACAAACAAUAAAUGCUGGAGACGGUGUGAAGAGAAGGGAACUCUCCUACACUAUUGGUGAGAAUGUAAAUUGGUACAACCACUAUGGAGAACAGUAUUGAGGUUCCUUAAAAGACUAAAAACAGAGCUAUCAUGUGAUCCAGCAACCCCACCCCUGCGCAUAUAUCUGGAGAAAACCAUGGUUUGAAAGGAUACACACACCCCAAUGUUCACUGCAGCACUGUUUACAAUAGCCAAGACAUGGAAGCAGUGGAAUAUUACUCAGCCUUUAAAAAGAAUGAAAUGCCAUUUGCAGCAACAUGGAUGGGCCUAGAGAUUAUCAUACUAAGUGAAGUAAGUUAGACAAAGAAAGACAAAUAUCAUGUAAUAUCACUUACAUGCAGAAUCUUUAAAAAUGAUACAAAUGAACUUAUUUACAGAAGAGAAACAGACUCACAGACUUAGAACAAACUUAGAAUUACUGGGUGGGGAAGGGGGGCAGGGAUAGAUUGGAAGUUUGGGAUUGACAUGUACGCACUGCUACAUUUAAAACAGAUAACCAACAAGGACCAACUGUAUAGCAAAGGGAGCUCUGCUCAAUAUUCUGUAAUAAGCUAAAUGGGAGAAGAAUUUGAAGACUAAAUACUUGUAUAUGUAUAUCUGAAUCACUUCGGGUAUACACCUGAAACUAACACAACACUGUGAAUCAAUGAUACUCCAAUAUAAAAUAAAUUUAAGAAAAUAUAAAAUGUAUAAAAACAGGAGAGAACUUCUUUGACAGGCAUACGUCCCACCCAGCAGAGGAAAUGACACAGAGAGAAAUGCAAACAGGCAAGCGGCUCAGCACUGAGACUGGCAAUUACUCUACUAGGUGAUCUCCCACCUGACAGCUUAAUUGCUUCCCUGAUUUAAGAGCUUCCCCAUUAAGCCCUUUGCAGCUGCAUCAAAGGAUCAAAGCCAUUCUUUACUGACAGGAACCUGAGGACAGGAGGAGGAGAGGGCUGCAGGAGAUUGUCCUGUGUGGCUCCUGAACAGUCCAAGAGCUGUUGGACUGGUAUGGGAGUCCAACACUCCCACACCAUUUCUAACAGGCCAAUUUGCUUUCUAUUCCUCUCACUCCUGAGGACGCUUUCUCGGUGCCGGUGGGAAUCACAAGGAACUGACCCAACACCUGAGGCUUAGUUCUGUCACUCAUUGCAAAACAAGAGGCCAGUCAUCUUCUCUCCCUGAACCAGAGUUUCCUGUUUUACGAAAAAACUCUGCUCAUCUCUCAAGAUUUUCCUGUCACGUUAUUUAAAAUAGAACUCCAAGGUCUGAACCUAACCUACGCAGACAUUAAGACAGGGGAUAGAUCCCCUGUGUGAAUGUGCAAAGGGCAUGAAGAUGGAUUAUUAAGUGAAAAAACUCAAGGCACAGAAAACUGUGCUGGGUUGAUCUGGUUUGGGUGGGAGAUAUAAAUUCCCUGCUUUUAUGUGCUAGAUGAUUUCUCUCUAGGCUCUUGAAAAGCUGAGAUGGUCUGAGGGAGACAGGGCUGACAUGAGCAAGGAAGCCUUUAUUUUUCAUUUUCAAACCAUCGGGCUCUGUCUGAAUUUUAUUUUAUCUUGUACUAAUUUUCUUAUGAUUUAAAUUAAAAUAGACAAUGGUAUCUAGUUUAAAAGGCGCAUGAGCUAGUUAAAAAGACUAAAUGAAGCUGUGUGUAUAAAACUUUUCUGUAAAGUUUAAACAACUCACCACUAUCUUUUUUUUUUUAAUAAAUUAAUUUUAUUUAUUUUUA